rnacentral:rRNA from 1 species
CUGCUGCCUCCCGUAGGAGUCUGGUCCGUGUCUCAGUACCAGUGUGGGGGACCUUCCUCUCAGAACCCCUACGCAUCGUCGCCUCGGUGGGCCGUUACCCCGCCUACUGCCUAAUGCGCCGCAUGCCCAUCCCUGUCCGGCCGAAGCCUUUCCUGCCUCCGGGAUGCCCCGGUGGCAUGUACGCGGGUUUAGCCCGCCUUUCGGCGGGUUGUCCCCCUGACAGGGGCAGGUUGCAUACGUGUUACUCACCCGUGCGCCGGUCGCCGGCGGAGAAA